UACGUAGGGUGCAAGCGUUGUCCGGAAUUAUUGGGCGUAAAGAGCUCGUAGGCGGUCUGUCACGUCGGCUGUGAAAACCCGAGGCUCAACCUCGGGCCUGCAGUCGAUACGGGCAGACUAGAGUUCGGUAGGGGGAGACUGGAAUUCCUGGUGUAGCGGUGAAAUGCGCAGAUAUCAGGAGGAACACCGGUGGCGAAGGCGGGUCUCUGGGCCGAUACUGACGCUGAGGAGCGAAAGCGUGGGGAGCGAACAGGA
rnacentral:rRNA from 1 species